UGCGAACUCCUACGGGAGGCAGCAGUGGGGAAUAUUGGACAAUGGGCGCAAGCCUGAUCCAGCCAUGCCGCGUGAGUGAUGAAGGUCUUAGGAUUGUAAAGCUCUUUCACCGGUGAAGAUAAUGACGGUAACCGGAGAAGAAGCCCCGGCUAACUUCGUGCCAGCAGCCGCGGUAAUACGAAGGGGGCUAGCGUUGUUCGGAUUUACUGGGCGUAAAGCGCACGUAGGCGGACUUUUAAGUCAGGGGUGAAAUCCCGGGGCUUAACCCCGGAACUGCCUUUGAUACUGGAAGUCUUGAGUAUGGUAGAGGUGAGUGGAAUUCCGAGUGUAGAGGUGAAAUUCGUAGAUAUUCGGAGGAACACCAGUGGCGAAGGCGGCUCACUGGACCAUUACUGACGCUGAGGUGCGAAAGCGUGGGGAGCAAACAGGAUUAGAAACCCGAGUAGUCCAGAUG
rnacentral:rRNA from 1 species